UAGACGUUCGAUAGACUAUACGAAAAGCACUGGACCGUAAAGGAUUUAUCUCGCUGUCGGAUCCGAUUGCUACAUAAAGAUUCGGAGGUCGUCGACGAUAUCGAACCGCAGAGAUUCUAAUUACCUGGAAUUAUUUGAUCAGAAGGGAAUCUUCGCGGUCGGAUGGGUAGUAAGGUUGAAGGUAGUAUAGGCGGUACUUGGAUAAAGGUAGGAGGUCAUUCUGAUAUCAGCUAAUCGAUUCCCCGGCGUGACCUCUGACCCCUCGUGAAAGCAGCUGGUUAAUACACGUGCCCCGAAGUUCUGCAAUCAAGGCGACCGACGCGUCACGUGGACGGGAAGCUAUUGGAUCCAAGAAAUGGUUACGUUGGUAUUGAGCAAGCAAAAGUAUCGAAAGAAAAAAGAAAGGGAGAAAACGAGAAACGGUCAGCAUCAUUCGACAUAGAGAGAGGGGGGGAGGAUAUUAUUGUGUCAGGAGUAUCGAUCCAUCCUCCAGGCUGCCAUUUCAUUUUUGUCCUUUUAUCAGGAAGGAGACUUUGGUCCAAGAGAGGAACCCGGGUAAGUGAGUGGGGAGGCGGUAGAUGAGAAGGGGCUAAUAAGUUUUAGCAACAUGGCCGCUCUUGAGCCUGAAAGAAUUAUUAACUCGGAAACUUGUCUCCUUUUGAUUCGUAAUUGAAUUUUUGAACGUUGCUACUAGAUGUACAAUAUUUAUACCGUAAUCGUGGUCCUGCUACAGCCACGUAUCUCCGUUUUCUUUCAGUUAAUUACAUAUCUUAGUUGACCCCUUGGUUAAUCUUGUAAAACUUCUUGCCGCCAUUUUGUCUCCCUUUCGUGGCACCUCUCGUAUCGUCUGAAUCGAAUUGACACGAAGAAAUUGACCUGCGUACUAUCCUCUCUCUCUCUCUCUGUCUCUAAAUCUCGUGGGAACUGGGACCAGGACGCUGGUAUCAUUGGCUUCUACGAAAUUGCCCGAUUAUGAUCGAUCGCUCGUUAUUUAAUCACUUAGACGCUUCUUUUAAACGGUAUACUACAUAUAUAUAUGUAUAUAGACUCGUGACACGUGCCGAUCCUCAUCUGUUUUUCCAGAACUCAUGCUCGAUCUUUAUAGCCAAGAUUUUGCGGAGUUUCAUGAAAGUGGAAAAUGAUAAAUAAUAGUCGAGUCUCCUUGUUAUGGAGAUUUGACGAAGAAGUGGCGUGUUUUUAUACAAACUGUGAGAGCUGUCGUGUCCCAGUGAGUCUGCGGAAUGCGUUGGGGAUGAGAAACAAAGGAAUUCUGUUACGUCACCUGACAUUCGUCUUCUCCCAGCAACCAUUAGUAUUUAUUGACUUACUUAUUCCUGUAUUACAAAACAGUUCAUAAGCAUUGAUUCGUCUGCUUAUCUUAUAGUAAACAGUAUAGUCGUACCUCUAACCAUAAUAUGGCUGUGCCGUGUCGUUGGAUUCCAUGCAAUUGCUUUUCCCUCAUUCAUUCACUAUUUCGAUAGCUAGAAAACUUCUCGAGACGUCAAUCGUAUUUUCUAUUAUUCUUCGUAAAUUAGUUGUAAACUCAAUGUAAUCCAAAGACCCGUUGCUAUGCAUUUCAACAAAAUCUGUCACGUGACUCGUUGCUAUGCAAGUGGCGCCACCGGUGGCAAAACUUUCUACUUAAUCCAAGCCACGCGUUCUCGGCGUAUCCGUAUUUCAAUGUACAAUUAACUUUGUGUCUUUGGUUAAUCAUUAAAUAAGUACACUGCUAUUGCAGCCAAGUCGAAAUGUUCUAUUUAAUCGUGGAUUUACGGUUAAUUUCUCAUCUCCCGUUGUAACGUCUGUUGUCGAGGACGCUUGUUGCUCAACGAGCGUUGCACGUUCCCUCAGUAAAUGCAUACCGUCGUAUCUACACUGUACACGAAUAGUCGAGUGUUGCCCUUAACGAAGUGCAGACACGCGUGCACCUCGUCGAAAGGGUUAAUUACGUGAUAACCUUUAAUAUAAUCCGACCUCCAUCGAGACUGGGAUUAAAUCUGACAAGUCGUCCUGACAAGCAUACCUAACCUCCCGUCCCCACAGACCUCGUGGUGGCACGUUACUGCCUCUCCCCCGAGGGUAACCAUGGAAAUCCCUAUGCUUUCAACCUACCAGCAUUCUACGCCCCUGGACGCCCUAUUUGAACAAAGGACGACGACCUCAGCCACGUCUCGUGCAAUAUCUUCCGUCUAAUUCAUCAGACGAAUCUUCACUCCCACCCACGUGACUCGCAGCUUGUCCUACAGUGACGUAAUUUUUUUCUAACUCGAACAUGGACGCUCCGUCGUACAGCGAGACUGUUUCACAUGGGAAAAUUAGGUGCACGUGAAAAUCCAUAAUGGUGACGUCAUUGAGUAUUCAUACGAUGACGCAACCUACCACACCAUACAUAACGUAGGAUAUAAUCCUGAAAUCAGGACACGAUUUCGCCAUGAC